GUCCGGGCGUCCUAGAAGGUCCCACUGCAGAGCUGGCGUAGGCGCUCGGCGGCCAUUUUAUCGCCGUGCGCCCUGCGAGCGGGAACGGAGUGGGCGGGGCUAUCAAAGGCGCGACGUUUCCAGGGAGACAGCCUAGCUGAGGCGCCGCCCGGGCAGCGUUAAGGGGUGUUCGCCUCGGGGAGGCGGGCGCCUCUGGUCAGGGGGCUCCGGCUCUACCGUUGCCGCCCGGGGGGGCUGUGUCCCAGUUCCACCCCCAUCCCCCUUCAGCUGGUGACUGCCACAGCAGCCCUGGCGAGUCUCUGCUCUGCGCGGAGCACUGGGGGUCGCUCUUGGUUGGCCAAUGGCCGCUCAGAGGAAAGGGGUGAGGAGCCCCGCUCUCGCCGCGGGGGACGGGGGAGCCGGCGCUGUGCGGCAGAGGGGCCGCGCAGGACGGUGUUGUUCAGGUACCGGCCCGGGCGGCAGCGUCCUUAGACCCGGUUAGGCUCCCGCGUCGCCGCGCUCGCUGCCCCCUUCCUAUGGGGCUCUUCCUCCGCCCUCAACAGCUGACAGCUGGUUCGCCCCUGCUGGGUGGGCGCUGGUGACUGCAGCUGUCAUGGACCAGUAGCCCGAGGAAGAUUCCGCCUUCUCUAGUUGUUUCCUGAAGAUUUCCUUCAGCUGGAAAGUUCAAGGAGAGAAAUCAUAUUAGUAGGUGUGCUUUGAGGAAUUUUCCAACAUGUGAGUGAUGACUUCACUCUUGAACAUACUCUGCAUUUGUAUCAACACUAUAGCUCUUCAUUACCAACUCCCACUACUUGAUAAAGCCUGGUAUUAAAAAAAGACUUGUUAUAGCCUCUGUUUUAGUCAAUGUGCAGUUAUCUUUUAGUAGUAUGAUUGUAUUCUCAGCAAUAUGAACAGCCAUCUAAGAACAGGGAUAUUUACUGCAUAUCUUUGGUUGGGAAAUUCUGCUCUAGAGUAUGGGGAACAUCUUUGAUUAUGACUGAAUAUAAACGAGCCCACUAGACAGCCAGUUGUUGUUUAGUGUUUGAGUUCCCCAGAUCCAUACUCAAAUAUAAUUUUCUCCUGGGUGAAAAGGAAGGCAGAACAUGCCAGGAUCACCACAAUGACCUCUCCAGCCCAAAUGGCUCAGAAUCGCAGUACUGACCACCUAUAUGGCAGUGCAUUAAAAUACCAUUAAAUCCCAUCCUGCCAUUCAGCACCAUAAAGAACACAGAGACCUUUCAACAGAAGUGAAGGUCUCUCUUGCUAGAGGUAGUAAAGCUCUAGCGACAGAUGGAGAGAGGAUGGGACUCUCCAAUUUAGAGAAACAGAACUAUGAAAUAUUUUUUUUUGUGGGAGACUGAUAACCUUUUGUUAAUGCAAUGAAGCAAAUAAGUCUCAUUGCUUCAGCUUCUGUUUACAGACAGUUAUCAAAGAAAUCCUCAAGCAUGAUGAGAGGGGUUUUUGCUAUUGAAACACACUUAUAUGUAGGUCAUUGUCCAGGAUUUAAAAUAGCUAAACGUUUAAAAAUAAAUAAAUAAAAAAAAUCUGUAAACCAGUAUCAGGUGAGACCCAGUAGGGAAAAAGAUCAUUUCCAUACCGUUCUUGGGCUUACAGCCUGGAAGCACUUAACAACUCAUAGCUUUAACUUGUUGAUUCAGCAUGUAACAGCCAUGCCUCCAGCUACUUUUGUAGGUUCUGAAGACGGUCUGAUUAGGCCUCCUUGGGUGUGGCUGUUUUACUCAGUGGCAGUAAAAAGGAUGUUGGGAGACAGGAUUAAAUGUUGGAAAAUGGGACCCUCAAAGCUCCAGUAGGAACACACGAGAUGCUCAGAAAUAGAGAAUUUUAAUUUUUUCUCUUUAUGUGCAUUUUUUAUUUUCACUCUGACUUAGAGAAUGAAUGUUUUGAGGGGCACUAACAAACGUUUGAUACCGUUGUUUAAUACCGACCCUCAAAUUCUUGUGGUGUGUGUGUGUUUGGUUAGGUGGGAACACUCAAACAAGUCUUACCUGGGCAGUUUCUUCUUCUUGCUUCCGCUUUUCUUCCUCAGUCUCCACUAGUUUCUGUUUAGUCAGGAGAAGCUCCUUGUUCAGAACAUCUGCUUUGUCUUCAGCCUGACAAUCAGAAGGGAUGAGCUAAAAAAAACCUUGAUGCAACUCUUCCUCCUAUGUUCUCCCACGCUCACUUUUUGCAGCAGAAACAUGUUUUUUUUCUAGUAACUGCUUGCUUGGUUAUUGCAUUAUGUUUCAGCUGCUGUGCAAAUCCACACGACUAUUUGAUACUCUAAUAGAAAAUGUGCUGGGCCAUAUUAAGAGCAAUUAAGGAUCCUGGAUCACGUGAGAGACUCCUGGCUUAUGUUAGGGUAUGUGUGACUCUGAUGUAAAUAAAAGGAAGACUACGAAUCAGAAGGGAGGCAGCAUGAUAUAGUGGGUUGGGUUCUCAACCAAGCUCCUGUGUGACCUGGGCAAGCGGCUUGAUCUUUCUGUGCUUUCAUUACCACAUCUGUAAAAUGGUGAAGAUAUUACAUCACAGGAGAGUUGAGAGUUUGUUUAGCACUUUACACUUUCAAGUAUUGUUUGUAUUACAAUACUUAGAGUGCAGGCCAAUAUAAGAUGCAGAAGAGCAUUAUCUACCAUUGUAAAAACACUGCAAAAAUAUUUUCUGGAGAAGCCAGAUAAUGUACGUUGGUCAGGAUGUGUGAAUUUGAUCCCCCAUUUGAAGAGCUAGGCAUGACGAUGAGAUAUUCAAGAGUACCAGAAAUGUCUUGGUAUGGUGGGGCGGGGUACCUUGCUAGCCUCGCUGAUUACAGUGAAAAAGAGGUUUUGCCAGUGUUAGGUAUAGUCAGUGGCUAGGUAACUUCCCCAUUUCAUAGAUUAAUAUUGCAUCGCAGCACUCACUCUGUUUGAUAAGCAAGUUGAUGGAACAGGCAAUGGUUGUAGCCAGAAAUAACUCACUGGCUGCAAAAUCAUGGGAAAAAGCACUGCAAAAUGAUUGAUUACCUAAUGCAGAAAUUGUGUGUGUGACCUGCACCAUGUUUUCCCACCAUCACUGGCACUAUAGCUUGCUUCUUUGCCAUGCUGCCACUGGUUAUUAAUAGUAGUUAAAUGCAGAGGAUGGGUGAAAUCCUGGCUGCACUGAAGUCAAUGGGAGUUUUGCCAGUGACUUCAGUAGGGCCAGGAUGUCACUCAAGGUACUAUGAGACGAGAAGAACGUCCCUACCGUUAGAAGCUUACAUCUACAAGAAUAACCAAGAUGGAGUGGGGACACCCACAGGUUUCCUCCUCUCCCCCCCAAACACAGUGAGAGGAGUUAGUGUUCGGGGAGGGGGGCAAAAGAGAUGAAGCAAGUCUUUAGCAAGGAUAUGAAUAAGAGGAAGGUGGGAGGAUCGGUAGGUCAUUCCACACAAAGUGGCAGUAUGGAAGAGGGCACAAACAAGAGAAGAGUGAAAGGAAGGGGAUAGUGAUGCUAGCAUCUGAUGGCGCAAAGGAGGUAAGGGGAUAGUAAAGGGGUCCUGCCAACUUUAAAAAGAAAAAACAAACCAACCUGUUUUAGACCUUAGACCAGCAACAUAAUACAUGGUUCAACAUAACCAUUAAAAACACUUGAAAGAACUAUCUGAAUAUCAGUUCCUUUUUCUGUUUGCUCAGUCUCAGGUGCUCAUCUGCUUAGCACCAUCAUAAGUGUCAUUAACUCUUGUGGGGAAGGAAGACAACAGUUGCACAUAAAGAGACAAAGCUAUUGCCACAGCAGGGGUGAACUACAGGUAAAAAAGCCACUUCAAUCUCCUACAUAGAAGACAGCUAAAAUAUGAGAGCAGGAAUGGGCAGAAAAUAAGCAGCUGUGGAGCUAGCAAGUGUUACAAUUUGGCAUGUAUUUCAACUGCUGCUGGGGAGGAUACAUCUCCUAGCAUCCCACAAGGUUUUAUCAUCUACUCCUAGCCUCCAGAUACAUUGCCCGUAUCCUUUGCCUCUUGUGCAUCUCCCCUAUCAGUAUGGCUCAGGCUCUUAGUCAUAACUGAGCCCAAAACAGCAGACACUGACUUUUAAGAGUUAGAGUAACUGCAGGGUUGUAGCAUGGACUGUAUUUCUUUAUGUAAGUUGGGAAUUGUAUACAGUCAAAGCACAGUCCGAUUCAGAUACCCUUACUCAUACCAUACUUACCCCACAACAGCACCUACUGGCUUCAGUUUGAGUAAGAUGCUACUCACUGAAGUAAGAGUGCAGAAUCUGUCCUGUUUAUUAUUUAAUACACUAUUGAUUACUAACAGUUCACCUCUAAAGAAUGUAGCAGAAUACAUUCUGAAGCUCUGAAGUGCACUACAUUAUUGCAAAGAGAUAAGACAACACCCCAGUUGUGUAUAACCUUCCCAAAGUCAACCUAAUCAUGUGAACAGCUCCCCCAGCACUUGUCCUCUGUGCCACAGGUUAGAUUUUGUAGGAAGCAUUUUGCUGAUGGAAAUACUAAACAUCUCAACUUUUGGUGCUAGCCCCACAUAGCUUUCUUGGGAGUGCUAUCUGCUACCUUGGUAACUGGAGCUGGGAUUAGAUGGUUUUGGAAGAGUAGAGGAAUGGGUGAGGUGAGAGACAUACUGGAUGACAUUGUAGCAAUUUAAAAUUCUGGAGAGCAUGGCAUAAAUUUUUCAAGUUAGUAGCCAUAUUCUGAUAUUUGCAUUAGAGAUUAAGGUCUACAUUUUCCAAAACAGACUGCAGUAGCACAGGUAAUUUGGUGUCCACUGGUGCUAAUAUUUGUGCCUGCAAGUGCAUCCAGUAGACACUUAGCUUCUUGACUGCAGUUACAGAUCAGGUAGUUAGGCAUCUCAAUGGGAGCAGAUAAAGAAAGACACUAAUAAUAAUGCCUUCAGUUUUGCACUCAUUCAAUUGUGAAUGCAAAAUACUGCCAUUGCCCUCCCCACCACCUAACAUUAGGAGUUCAGGCUCAGGCCUGGCUACAAAUCAGUGCCUGUGUUACCUGGUCCAAGUCAUUUCGGAGGGCUAUUUUGCUCGUUACAAGUUCAUGGGCAAGGUCAUCAUUCUCCUGUUCCAGCCGCAUGCUCGCUUCCUGGAGCCUGCGGUUCUCCCUCUGCAGAAAGAGAGGAACAAAUAGGAGAAUAAGUUAAUUCUUAUCAAUUUUAAAAUGAAGGAACAAAGAGACAAGUGAAUAUUUUGUGGGUGGGUAUGAGAGUGAGAAAAAGUGUAAAAACCAAGAAGGCAUGAGUGCACAGUUAAGGCAGGAUUGCUGCUGUGGGAAACAACAUUGAAUUAAGCCAGCAGAUGCAGUACCCCAUCUGACAGAGCCUGUUUAGAAAAACUGAAACAGUGCUAUGGAAAU